rnacentral:rRNA from 1 species
UACUUAGUGGCAGACGGGUGAGUAACAUGUGGGUAUCUACCCUUUGGCCUGGAAUAACACGAGGAAACUUGUGCUAAUACCGGAUAAGUCUUUACGGAGAAAGCUUUAUGCACCAUUGGAUGAGCCCGCACUUGAUUAGUUUGUUGGUAGGGUAAUGGCCUACCAAGACUAUGAUCAAUAGCUGAUUUGAGAGGAUGAUCAGCCACAUUGGGACUGAGACACGGCCCAAACUCCUACGGGAGGCAGCAGUGGGGAAUCUUGCACAAUGGAGGAAACUCUGAUGCAGCGAUGCCGCGUGAGUGAAGAAGGCCUUUGGGUUGUAAAGCUCUUUCGUCGGGGAAGAAAAUGACUGUACCCGAAUAAGAAGGUCCGGCUAACUUCGUGCCAGCAGCCGCGGUAAUACGAAGGGACCUAGCGUAGUUCGGAAUUACUGGGCUUAAAGAGUUCGUAGGUGGUUGAAAAAGUCCG